GGUCGCGUGUCCGAGUGGUCAGGUAUGGGUCUGCAAAACCUUCUACAGCGGUUCGAUUCCGCUCGCGACCU
rnacentral:tRNA from 1 species